rnacentral:rRNA from 1 species
GAACUGUGAGACAGGUGCUGCAUGGCUGUCGUCAGCUCGUGUUGUGAAAUGUUGGGUUAAGUCCCGCAACGAGCGCAACCCUUAUCCUUUGUUGCCAGCGGUCCGGCCGGGAACUCAAAGGAGACUGCCAGUGAUAAACUGGAGGAAGGUGGGGAUGACGUCAAGUCAUCAUGGCCCUUACGACCAGGGCUACACACGUGCUACAAUGGCGCAUACAAAGAGAAGCGACCUCGCGAGAGCAAGCGGACCUCAUAAAGUGCGUCGUAGUCCGGAUUGGAGUCUGCAACUCGACUCCAUGAAGUCGGAAUCGCUAGUAAUCGUGGAUCAGAAUGCCACGGUGAAUACGUUCCCGGGCCUUGUACACACCGCCCGUCACACCAUGGGAGUGGGUUGCAAAAGAAGUAGGUAGCUUAACCUUCGGGAGGGCGCUUACCACUUUGUGAUUCAUGACUGGGGUGAAGUCGUAACAAGGUAACCGUAGGGGAACCUGCGGUUGGAUCACCUCCUUA